UGUUAUGGCAGCUGUGCGUGGGAGGCCUUCGGGCCUGCCGGGUUCCUGUAUCUCCGGUCUUGCACACCCGCGCACAGCUGCCUCCAAU
rnacentral:antisense_RNA from 1 species